ACGAGCGCUGGCGGCGUGCUUAACACAUGCAAGUCGAACGGAAAGGCCCUGCUUUUGUGGGGUGCUCGAGUGGCGAACGGGUGAGUAACACGUGAGUAACCUGCCCUUGACUUUGGGAUAACUUCAGGAAACUGGGGCUAAUACCGGAUAGGAGCUCCUGCUGCAUGGUGGGGGUUGGAAAGUUUCGGCGGUUGGGGAUGGACUCGCGGCUUAUCAGCUUGUUGGUGGGGUAGUGGCUUACCAAGGCUUUGACGGGUAGCCGGCCUGAGGGGGUGACCGGCCACAUUGGGACUGAGAUACGGCCCAGACUCCUACGGGAGGCAGCAGUGGGGAAUAUUGCACAAUGGGCGGAAGCCUGAUGCAGCAACGCCGCGUGCGGGAUGACGGCCUUCGGGUUGUAAACCGCUUUCGCCUGUGACGAAGCGUGAGUGACGGUAAUGGGUAAAGAAGCACCGGCUAACUACGUG
rnacentral:rRNA from 1 species